GAUGAAGAACGUAGCGAAAUGCGAUAAGUAAUGUGAAUUGCAGAAUUCAGUGAAUCAUCGAAUCUUUGAACGCACAUUGCGCCCAUUAGUAUUCUAGUGGGCAUGCCUGUUCGAGCGUCAUUAAGUCCACUUAAGCCCUGCUUAGUGUUGGGAGACUGCUCCAGCGGUGCUACCCUGUAGCUACCCUGCAGCUCCUCAAAGACAGCGGCGGAGUUGUGGUAUCCUCUGAGCUUAGUAACUUGUUCUAGCUUUCGAGUACAGCACUUCCCCUGCCGUAAAACCCUUAAUUUUUAAUGGUUGACCUCGGAUCAGGUAGGAAUACCCGCUGAACUUAAGCAUAUCAAUAAGCGGAGGA
rnacentral:misc_RNA from 1 species